UAGGGCACGACACCGGAGAGGGAGCCUGAGAAACGGCUACCACAUCCGAGGAUGGCAGCAGGCGCGCAAAUUACCCAAUCCCGACACGGGGAGGUAGUGACAAUAAAUAACAAUACGGGGUUCUUUAGGAUCUCGUAAUUGGAAUGAGUACAAUUUAAAUCUCUUAACGAGGSACMAWUUGGGAGGGGCAAGUCUGGUGCCAGCAGCCGCGGUAAUUCCAGCUCCAAUAGCGUAUAUUAAAGUUGUUGCAGUUAAAAAGCUCGUAGUUGAAUUUCGGGGUUAGUAGGUUGGUCAUGCCUCUGGUAUGUACUGGUCUCACUGAUUCCUCCUUCCUGAUGAGCCGUAAUGCCAUUAAUUUGGUGUUGCGGGGAAUUUGGACUGUUACUUUGAAAAAAUUAGAGUGUUUAAAGCAGGCUAACGCUUGAAUACAUUAGCAUGGAAUAAUGAAAUGGGACGUUCGAUCCUAUUUUGUUGGUUUCUAGGAUUGACGUAAUGAUUAAUAGGGAUAGUUGGGGGCAUUAGUAUUCAAUUGUCAGAGGUGAAAUUCUUGGAUUUAUUGAAGACUGGCUACUGCGAAAGCAUUUGCCAAGGAUGUUUUCAUUAAUCAAGAACGAAAGUUANGGGAUCGAAGACGAUCAGAUACCGUCGUANUCUUAACCAUARACUAUGCCGACNAGGGAUCGGAUGAUGUUAAUUUUUUAAUGACUCCAUCGGCGCCUUACGGAACAG
rnacentral:rRNA from 1 species